UCCCGUUGGGCCAUCACCAGCGCCAUCGUCUCUGAAGUCCUUGGCGGGCAGCGCUUGAUCAUGACGCCCAUGAUCAUGUUUCCUCACGCUGGCAGCUCUUAACGGAAUAACGUCGGUCAGUUGAGCGGUUUGUGUUGAAUAGGACUUUUUCGUGUUUCCACAGUGCGUGUACAUCAAGAGAUUCGCUUUGUUGUGCGCGUUAACCAUGAAACUUUUUAAAAGACAUCACCCGGAGCAACUGCGCUGGCUGAUUGCUCCAUAUUAAUAUCGAAAGUGGUAGUGGCGAAACUGAAGAUGGCGAGGUGGCCUGACGACGACAGAAAUCGUCGUUGAGUUUCGUCGAUGACGACAACGCUCGUGGUCGGCGUAACGGAAACGACGGACAAGGAAAAGCCAAUUUCGAGCUACAUACACUGCUGUCGCAGUAAAUUUCGCAGUAAUUGUCGGAACGCCUUCCUACCUGGCAGCAAGAUAAGUGGACGUGGCUUUGAGCUAGUUAGCGAUGUUUAGAAUUAAACAUGUACGAAGAAAGGACACCGAAAAGAAGACGGACAAAAACAGAUUGUAUAGAGAAAAUAAAGCCUGUGAAACAAU